AUAUUAUACUAGAAUUUACCAUCUCACUUCUAGGAAUACUAGUAUAUCGCUCACACCUGAUAUCCUCCCUACUAUGCCUAGAAGGAAUAAUACUAUCACUAUUCAUUAUAGCCACUCUCAUAACCCUCAACACCCACUCCCUCUUAGCCAAUAUUGUACCUAUCGCCAUACUAGUCUUUGCUGCCUGCAAGGCAGCAGUAGGCCUAGCCCUACUAGUCUCAAUCUCCAACACGUAUGGCCUAGACUACGUACAUAACCUAAGCCUACUCCAAUGCUAAAACUAAUUGUCCCAACAAUUAUAUUACUACCACUGACAUGACUCUCCAAAAAACACAUAAUUUGAAUCAACACAACCACUCACAGCCUAAUUAUUAGCACCAUCCCCCUACUAUUUUUCAACCAAAUCAACAACAACCUAUUUAGCUGCUCCUUAUCCUUCUCCUCCGACCCCCUAACGACCCCCCUCCUAAUACUAACUACCUGACUCCUGCCCCUCACAAUCAUGGCAAGCCAACGCCACUUAUCCAAUGAACCACUAUCACGAAAAAAACUCUACCUCUCUAUACUAAUCUCCCUACAAAUCUCCUUAAUUAUGACAUUCACAGCCAUAGAACUAAUCAUAUUUUAUAUCUUCUUCGAAACCACACUUAUCCCCACCCUGGCUAUCAUCACCCGAUGAGGCAACCAACCAGAACGCCUGAACGCAGGUACAUACUUCCUAUUCUACACCCUAGUAGGCUCCCUCCCCCUACUCAUCGCACUAAUCUACACCCACAACACCCUAGGCUCACUGAAUAUUCUAUUACUCACUCUUACUGCCCAAGAACUAUCAAACUCCUGAGCCAAUAACUUAAUAUGGCUAGCGUACACAAUAGCUUUUAUAGUAAAAAUACCUCUUUACGGUCUCCACCUAUGGCUCCCUAAAGCCCAUGUCGAAGCCCCCAUCGCUGGGUCAAUAGUACUUGCUGCAGUACUCUUAAAAUUAGGCGGCUAUGGUAUAAUACGCCUCACACUCAUUCUCAACCCCCUGACAAAACAUAUAGCCUACCCCUUCCUUGUACUAUCCCUGUGAGGCAUAAUUAUAACAAGCUCCAUCUGCCUGCGACAAACAGACCUAAAAUCGCUCAUUGCAUACUCUUCAAUCAGCCACAUAGCCCUCGUAGUAACAGCCAUCCUCAUCCAAACCCCCUGAAGCUUCACCGGCGCAGUCAUUCUCAUAGUCGCCCACGGACUUACAUCCUCAUUACUAUUCUGCCUAGCAAACUCAAACUACGAACGUACCCACAGUCGCAUCAUAAUUCUCUCUCAAGGACUUCAAACCCUACUCCCACUAAUAGCCUUUUGAUGACUUCUAGCAAGCCUCACUAAUCUCGCCUUACCCCCCACUAUUAACCUACUAGGAGAACUCUCUGUGCUAGUAACCACAUUCUCCUGAUCAAAUAUCACUCUCCUACUUACAGGACUCAACAUACUAAUCACAGCCCUAUACUCCCUCUACAUAUUUACCACAACACAAUGAGGCUCGCUCAGCCACCACAUUAACAACAUAAAACCCUCAUUCACACGAGAAAACACUCUCAUGUUCAUACACCUAUCCCCUAUCCUCCUCCUAUCCCUCAACCCCGAUAUCAUUACC
rnacentral:lncRNA from 1 species